UUCUAGGUUCACAAUAUACAUACACACACAUAUGUUAACCAGAGAGAUUUUGAGUUUUAAAUAAAUGAGUUAAGUCCUCCUCCUUCAAUUACAUUGAAAUAACAGUUCAAACUUAUUUGUAAAGAGCAGUUUAGAUGAGGUCAAGAUGUUAGUGCCAAUUUCUAAGCUAGACCCAGAAUUUCAUUGGGUGAAAUUUUAUAUUAGAGGAAAUAUAUUGAGAGAGUUUAAACCAAAAGUAUUUUGAUUUUGCUUUGGACAUAUAGUCAUGAAAUAUUUUUCUUAGGUUUUUAGUGAGCUUCAAAAUAUUUAAGUUUUAAUCUUCCAGUUUUAUUUAGAUACCAGAAACUGGUGUAUACAUGGGUAUGUCUACAUUUGAAGCAGGAAGUUGAGUUAUUCACACCAUGUCUCUUUUGUUCUCAACUCAAGCAAAUUACUAUUUACUAAAGGAAAUUUGAGUUGAACUUUACAUCAAGAGAAAUCCUGUAUUGUCUGCCUAGAAAGCCUCUUUGUGCAAACACACUCUUUCAGAGUUUGGAAACUCUGUAUCAUCUUUGGCCACUUGAAAUAAAAGUGGUUAUUUUGAUCUAGAAUUCUGAAAUCUAAAGGUUGAUGCUGAUUCUUUGGGGUCCUUAUGUAUUCUGCUUAUUAAUCAGAUGGGUAGUUGCAUAUAUUUUCUCUCAUCCUGUGGGUUGUCUCUUCACUUCAUUGAUUGUUGCCUUUGCUGUGCAGAAGCUUUUUAACUUGAUGUGAUCUCAUUUGUCCAUUUUGGCUUUGGUUGCCUGUGCUUGUAGGGCUUAUUCAAGAUAUUUUUGCCCAGACCAGUGUCCUGGAGAGUUUCCUUGAUGUUUUCCUCUAGUAGUUUCAUAGGCUGAGAUCAUAGAUUUAAGUCUUUACUCCAUUUUGAUUUCACUUUUGUAUAUGACAAGUUGGCAUAUAGAAAUGCUACUGAUUUUCACAUGUUGGUUUUUGUAUCCUGCAAACUUAAUUUAUCAGUUCUACUUUUUUUUUUUUUGUGGAAUCUUUGGGUUUUUCUAAAUAUAAGAUCAUAACAUCUGCAAACAGGAAAAAUUUGACUUCUUCCUUUCUAAUGCAGAGAAUAGGCUGAAUGCACUUGAAUAGUGAUUUUGUUGUUCAUUGUAUGGUGUAAAUCUACAAAUGUUAAUUUGAUAAUGUUUUAAGAAAUUUGGUGGCAAACUCUUUAGUUAUCAAUGAGCUCAAAUGAAUGGAAAUACAGGCAUAAUAAACUUUAAAUACUAAAACAUUUUUAAAGAAACUUGAUAAUGAAUGGAUAACAUUUGCUACCCACCGCCUGCAGGGGCCAUAGUGGUACAUGAGCCACCUCUUUUUCAGGGUUUGUGGGUCAAAUUGGUCCCAAUGGCUUAGGACGCAUUUCAAGGGUGAGCCUGUUGAUGCCUGAGUGUUUCCCAUCUGAAAGCCAAAACUGCCCAUGGUUUUGGUUUGUUUUGUUUCUCCCCCUGCCCGAGAACCUGCAACAGUCCCUGGACCCUCCUGAUGGGCAUAGUUGAACUCACCGACGCAGCAGCAGAAACACUAGUUUUCCUCCCAGACCACAAGGGGGACUGAGGAAGGUUGGAUUUAGUGGCCCUUACCAACACAUUCUCGAAAACCUGCACCCUUGUCUGUCCUCCUAGACCACAAAGAGGACUGAGAAAAAUCGGAUUUAGUGGCCUUGACCGACGCAUUCUCGAAAACCUGUUAGAGUCCUAAGCGUUCUCCUGUUGGUAUUGGGACCUUACCUGUGUCCUAUAAAGAUGUUAUGCCCCAAAAAUGAAGUGAAGGGCCAUACCCUGAGGGAGGGGAGGGAUCUCCAGAGUUGGAAGAGUGACACCUUUUCUUCUCACUUAUAUAAAUAGGAAGGAUAAAAUUUCUGAGGCUCCCCAUAUCCUAGCUUCAGGAAUAACUUUUGUUAGCCCUGCUAGUCUGAGGGAGGGAUCCUAAAAUUCCAGAUAGUCCCCACUAUGAUGGGGCUUUGGGCAAAAAUUAUGUCUUUCUGAUUGGUGAGCCCAGGUGCCUAAAGAAGGUAACAGAGUCCUGGAGUUUAUAUUAGAAAUCAUUCUCAUAGGAGAAACUAGAAAAGCACCAAAGACAGGGAGAGAUUUUUAGAAGUGG
rnacentral:lncRNA from 1 species